ACGCAUUUCGCCGGCUCUUCCACGUUCACAUUUCACUACGAGAGUGAUAAAUAAGUACGGUAAUGGAGGCCUGUGUCACUGUGGGUUUGAUUCAAAGCAUGCACAAGAAAACGUGGUGUCGUGCGUCCGUGCGCAUGAAUAUAUGUUCAAGCGUCAAAACCUUGUGCAUGGAAAAUCAAGCACACGUGCAGUGCAUGCAUCAUCUUUCCUGAAGAUCGAGGGAGUGUGAU
rnacentral:lncRNA from 1 species